CUUGCAGCUUAGUUGGUCAGAGCAUUGAUGCGUAAAGACAAAGGUCCCGGGUUCGAUUCCCGGCAGG
rnacentral:tRNA from 1 species